rnacentral:rRNA from 1 species
GACGAACGCUGGCGGCGUGCCUAAUACAUGCAAGUUGAGCGAUGAAGAUUGGUGCUUGCACCAAUUUGAAGAGCAGCGAACGGGUGAGUAGCGCGUGGGGAAUCUGCCUUUGAGCGGGGGACAACAUUUGGAAACGAAUGCUAAUACCGCAUAACAACUUUAAACAUAAGUUUUAAGUUUGAAAGAUGCAAUUGCAUCACUCAAAGAUGAUCCCGCGUUGUAUUAGCUAGUUGGUGAGGUAAAGGCUCACCAAGGCGAUGAUACAUAGCCGACCUGAGAGGGUGAUCGGCCACAUUGGGACUGAGACACGGCCCAAACUCCUACGGGAGGCAGCAGAAGGGAAUCUUCGGCAAUGGACGAAAGUCUGACCGAGCAACGCCGCGUGAGUGAAGAAGGGUUUCGGAUCGUAAAACUCUGUUGGUAGAGAAGAACGUUGGUGAGAGUGGAAAGCUCAUCAAGUGACGGUAACUACCCAGAAAGGGACGGCUAACUACGUG